GCUUAUUCUCAGGGCGGGGCGAAAUUCCCCACCGGCGGUAAAUCAGCUGAGGCUGAAAGCCCGCGAGCGCUUCAGAGCCAUUCUGAAGGUCAGCAGAUCCGGUGUAAUUCCGGGGCCGACGGUUAAAGUCCGGAUGGGAGAGAGUAACG
rnacentral:ncRNA from 1 species